GCCUUUCCAAUAAGUUUUAAGUAAAAAAUUAAUGCUUUGAAAAUGUAUUGGUCUGUGCUGUGUUUUCCUUCUAACACAGUUCUUCCCUGCUCUAAGAGGAAGGAUGGCCCAGGGCCUUAGGAGACCAGGAGCAGGGGAUGCGUGUGAUGCGGGUCGUCGUUUGUCUUCCCCGUGGGCCCUGUAAACCAUGUCCACGCCAGCACAGCUGGUGCAGUCCCUGCCCGGGGCAGGUGCCGCGUGCGGGAGAGACACGGGUCCUGCACAGAGGGGCACGUGUGUCUGACUGACCCCUCCGAGUCUUCUUCUUCGUGGGUUUGUUCAGCACCAGCGGAUCACAUGAAGACGGGAAGCCUUUGCUUGGAAACAAGGAAAAACCCAACCCAGAAGAGGCGCUGGCAGCCUCAGACGAGGCCGAAACCCAGGCGCUUCCCAUCCUCCCACCGCUCUCCCCGUCCGUGCCCUUUCCUUUUAAGCCAUCAAGGCUCAGAAUCGGACGCUGCAGUUUAAGUACACUUCUUUCCUCUGUUGAGGCUCACGUCUAUUUAGUUUGUUUACUCAGAAGGCAGAGAGAGAGCCGGGCACACAUGGAUCUCCCAUCCUCCGUUCGUCCCCAGAUGCCUGCAGCGCCAGGGCUGCGUGCUGGGAGCUCGCCCAGGACUUCCCUCUCAGUGCAGCGGCCUCGACCGUGCGGGAGCUGUGCUCACCUUGUUGUGUCGGGAGAGACGGUGAGAUGCGGCAGUGGUCGGUGGGACUUUUUGAAGAGACGGCAUGAGCCCAGAUGCACACACGUGACGGCAGUGAGCGCAGGUGCCUGGCUGUGGCCGCUGCCGGAACGGGCGGCUGCAGUCUGCACACUGGUGUUCCGGGUUGUCCAGGUGAGCCCGCAGUGGCUUCACUGGGUUAGUCCAGGUGUCCUCCGGGCCGCGUCCACUUUCUUGCCUUUUCCAGCUCUAGAGGCGCGUGGCCACCCCCCCAGAGCAGCACAGCAUGGCCGCAGCUUCUGCAGUGGGGGUCCCCCUGGCUCCGGCCUCGCGGCCUCCCACUGAGAUUCUCGAGAUUAUGUAGGGCACGCCCAGGCAGGGCAGGGUUCAGGGUCCUGACUUGGCGAUGUCCUGCAGAGUCCCCUUUGCCGUGGAAGGGACGCGUUGCACAGGCUCCAGGGGCUGGGACGUAGACCUGCUAGAGGUGAGUGUCAUCUAGUCCAGCACAAGGAGACUGGAGUUCACGUCCACUCUGCCACGCAGAGUGUGUGCGUUUAGGUGCCACCUCUAGCCCGAGAUCUGUCUUCUGCCACAUGGGUGCAGCGUGGGCCCCAGCCCCAGCACACUUACCCGGGCCCUGUGUUUGAGUUCUGGUGGGUGGUUCUCCGUCAUGUACCACGGUGGAAUGCACGCGUGACGGUGGCCCCGCUGGAGGCUGUUGCUGGCGACAUCGUGGCUGGCUGAGUGAUGCCGCACGACCUGUCGCUGUGGGGAGCAGUGCGCGGCUGGGGAGGCCUGGCAGGCUCUCCCGCGCUUCAGCGAAUUCCAGUUCUGACCGGAGAGAAAUAUCUCUGUGUCUUUUCCUUUGUGGUAGCGGAUCUGAGAAAGCACUGGAGUGAGGAAUUCAAAACCAGAAUUCAGUUCUGUUGAUGGGGACUUUUUCCUCCUCUUUCUUUUCUUUUCUUUUCUUUUUUUUUUUUUUUUAAGAUUUAUUUAUUUAUUUGAAAGUCAGAGUUAACACACAGAGAAAGAGAGAGGUCUUCCAUCCGCUGGUUCACUCCCCACAUGACUGCAAUUGCCAGAGCUAUGCUGAUCCGAAGCCAGGAGCCAGGAGCUUCUUCCAGGUCUCCCACGUGGGUGUAGGGGCCCAAAGACCUGGGCCAUCUUCUGCUUUCCCAGGCCAUAGCAGAGCGCUGGAUCGGAAGUGGAGCAGCCAGGUCUCGAACUGGCACCCAUAUGGGAUGUUGGUGCUUCAGGCCAGGGCGUUGACCCACUGCGACACAGUGCUGGCCCCUUUUUCCUCCUUUUUCAAAAAUGAAAUCCCAGGGCCUGUGUUGAGGUGCAGCAGGUUAAGCCGCCACGUACAACACCGGCCUCCCACACGGGCACCACGGGUUCCAUUCCCGGCUGCUCCACUUCCAGUCCAGGGCCCGGCUAAUGUUGUCUGGGGAAGCAGCAGAAGAUGGCUCAGGUCCUUGGGCCCCUGGAACGCAUGUGGGAGAUCCCAGUGGAGUUCCAGGCUCCUGGCGUCGGCCUGGCCUGGCCCUGACCAUUGCAGCCAUUGGAGAGAGAACCAGCAGAUAGAAGAUCGAUCUCUCUCUCUCUCUCUCUCUCUCUCUCAUUCUGCCUUUCAGAUAAAUAAAUAAACCUCUGUAAAAGUGAAUUUCUUAGUGUUUUCAGAUGUGUGUGUUCAUCUGGUUCGAGGCCAUUUUAGGGAGGUGCUAAUUCCACGUGACGAGUAUGUGCUGAGCCACUAGGCGCUCGGGAGACGGCGCGCACGCGAGAGGCUGUCAGAGGCCUGCUCCCGGCCCUCUCAAAGUCCGUCUCCUGUAGAAGUGUUGGGGGACGGCCUGGGAGAAACGUGUGGCCCAGGGGCUGAAGGCUGAAGAGGCGCGAGCCGCCAGCCACGCGCUUGGGCUGGGGCCGGACAGGGCACGGUGUUGCUGGCGGAAGAAACGGCAGCGUUUGAAGGCCCGGAGGACGGUGGUGGAAGUUCAGUGUGGCUGGAGCUCAGGACGUGAAGAAGGCCAGGGAGGGCCGAGGUAGCGUCGGGAGCAGCGCAGGAGAGCCGGGCCCACGGGAGGAGAUCCGGGCACAGUUCCGCCCGACUCAGGACUGCGCGGACUCUGGUCAGCUGUGUCCCUGCUUCCCCGUCCUGAGAGCCCCUCCCAAAGCAGCUGCAGGAAGGCAGUGUGCAGACGCGCUCCCAGCUCCAGGAGAGCCCUGCCGUGGUCGGGGCCACGGUCGGCUCAGAUGGGAGCCCCUGAGACUGCAGGGUAGGGGACAGUCCUGUCGCUCUUAGCUGCGGGGACUUUCGUGAUCUGUGGCCCUGCAGAUUUUCUGCAUACUUGGAGCAAAAUUCAACGGAAAUAGAAUCCGUGGCCGUUUGCACCGUGUCCUGCCCGUGGUGGCCGUGGGCUCUGUGUGGACGGUCGCCCCAUUGCUAAGGAUCUGCGUCUGUGACUUAGUGUGUGCCGGGGGAGGGUGGAGGAGGCACCGGGUGAGCAGGCAAGCACUCCGCCCUCCCCCAGAAGCCUCCUCUUCCCACGGCCCGCACACGUCACCCCGCACGCUGCUGGGACUAAGAGGCAGGCGGGUUCAGGCUGGAGACCCGUGAGCCCCCUGCGUUCCUUAGGUUUGACAGCCUCUGUCUCCCUCCAGGCUGGAGACCCGUGAGCCCCCGCGUUCCUUAGGUUUGACAGCCUCUGUCUCCCUCCAGGCUGGAGACCCGUGAGCCCCCUGCGUUCCUUAGGUCUGACAGCCUCUGUCUCCCUCCAGGCUGGAGACCCGUGAGCCCCCGCGUUCCUUAGGUUUGACAGCCUCUGUCUCCCUCCAGGCUGGAGACCCGUGAGCCCCCCGCGUCCCUUAGGUCUGACAGCCUCUGUCUCCCUCCAGGCUGGAGACCCGUGAGCCCCCCGCGUCCCUUAGGUCUGACAGCCUGUGUCUCCCUCCAGGCUGGAGACCCGUGAGCCCCCGUGUUCCUUAGGUCUGACAGCCUCUGUCUCCCUCCAGGCUGGAGAGCCGUGAGCCCCCGCGUUCCUUAGGUCUGACAGCCUCUGUCUCCCUCCAGGCUGGAGACCCGUGAGCCCCCGCGUUCCUUAGGUUUGACAGCCUCUGUCUCCCUCCAGGCUGGAGAGCCGUGAGCCCCCGUGUUCCUUAGGUCUGACAGCCUCUGUCUCCCUCCAGGCUGGAGAGCCGUGAGCCCCCCGCGUUCCUUAGGUUUGACAGCCUCUGUCUCCCUCCAGGCUGGAGAGCCGUGAGCCCCCCGCGUCCCUUAGGUCUGACAGCCUGUGUCUCCCUCCAGGCUGGAGACCCGUGAGCCCCCGUGUUCCUUAGGUCUGACAGCCUCUGUCUCCCUCCAGGCUGGAGAGCCGUGAGCCCCCGCGUUCCUUAGGUCUGACAGCCUCUGUCU